rnacentral:rRNA from 1 species
UACGUAGGGUGCGAGCGUUAAUCGGAAUUACUGGGCGUAAAGCGUGCGUAGGCGGUUCGUUAAGUUCGUUGUGAAAGCCCCGGGCUCAACCUGGGAAUGGCAAUGGAAACUGGCGGGCUGGAGUAUGGCAGAGGGGGGUGGAAUUCCGCGUGUAGCAGUGAAAUGCGUAGAUAUCAGGAGGAACACCAAUGGCGAAGGCAGGUCUCUGGGCCACAACUGACGCUGAGGAGCGAAAGCGUGGGGAGCGAACAGG